ACUAUGAAGUUACGGUGUACAUUUAAAUGGUUCCGGUGAGGUUGCGGUAGAAUGUAACAUACCGGAUUUUAAGUAUAAAGGUGAAAAUAAAUAAAAAUAGUAUGAGAUACUAUUUUAUUGGGUUUGGAGAAGUGAAAUAUAGAUUGAAAAUGACCUGUGCUGAAAUCGGAGCGAAAACAGAAGAUUUAGAUUUUCUAUAAGAAACGGAGUAGAUAAAUUAGCAGAAAAUGCACAGUGUCAGAAAAUUAUGAAAACUGGAGGAUAUGUCAGAAAUAUUUUUAUGUGCCUAGAUUUAAAGUUUCAUACCAUUCUGACACCCGUAGAGUGAGAAAUAAAAUCCGACAGUUAUCUGAUUAAGAUUACAGUUCGGCACAGUUUUCGGUGACCAAACGGGGUCGAAACUGAGAACUUAAGAUAUAUUCUUACUCAGUAUGUUAAACCGAGCCUGCCUGUCAAAUUUGAGCGCAAACGGACGUUCAGAAGGGCUCCAACGACUCCGAACUGCUAAACUGCUGCCCGAGGUGAAUAGUGUAAAGUUGAGGGGCUAAGUU
rnacentral:lncRNA from 1 species